rnacentral:rRNA from 1 species
UAUACUGCAAGUCGAGCGAAAGAUAAGGAGCUUGCUCCUUUGACGUUAGCGGCGGACGGGUGAGUAACACGUGGGUAACCUACCUAUAAGACUGGGAUCACUUCGGGAAACCGGAGCUAAUACCGGAUAACAUUUGGAACCGCAUGGUUCUAAAGUGAAAGAUGGUUUUGCUAUCACUUAUAGAUGGACCCGCGCCGUAUUAGCUAGUUGGUAAGGUAACGGCUUACCAAGGCAACGAUACGUAGCCGACCUGAGAGGGUGAUCGGCCACACUGGAACUGAGACACGGUCCAGACUCCUACGGGAGGCAGCAGUAGGGAAUCUUCCGCAAUGGGCGAAAGCCUGACGGAGCAACGCCGCGUGAGUGAUGAAGGGUUUCGGCUCGUAAAACUCUGUUAUUAGGGAAGAACAAAUGUGUAAGUAACUGUGCACAUCUUGACGGUACCUAAUCAGAAAGCCACGGCUAACUACGUGCCAGCAGCCGCGGUAAUACGUAGGUGGCAAGCGUUAUCCGGAAUUAUUGGGCGUAAAGCGCGCGUAGGCGGUUUCUUAAGUCUGAUGUGAAAGCCCACGGCUCAACCGUGGAGGGUCAUUGGAAA